CCACACCAGCCUAUGGCCCUCUCAGUAAAAUUUCCCAUAGGAGCUGUUUAGAAUGACAGCUCCUGAUUGCAGUACAUUGAGCUCCAUAGAGACAGCGCCGGGGCAAGCGAGAGCCGGACGGUCACUGGGCGACUCUGUGCCUCACGGAGGAAAAUCAACUAAACAUGGGCAAAGGAGAUCCUAAGAAGCCUAGCGGCAAAAUGUCCUCAUAUGCAUUCUUUGUGCAAUUUUGCCGGGAGGAGCACAAGAAGAAGCACCGGGAUGCUUCUGUCAACUUCUCAGAGUUCUCCAAGAAGUGCUCAGAGAGGUGGAAGACCAUUUCUGCUAAAGAAAAGGGGAAAUUUGAAGAUAUGGCAAAGGCUGACAAGGCUCGUUAUGAAAGAGAAAUGAAAACCUACAUCCCCCCCAAAGGGGAGACCAAAAAGAAGUUCAAGGACCCCAAUGCACCCAAGAGGCCUCCUUCGGCCUUCUUCUUGUUCUGUUCUGAGUACCUCCCUAAAAUCAAAGGCGAGCAUCCUGGCUUAUCCAUUGGUGAUGUUGCAAAGAAACUAGGAGAGAUGUGGAACAACAUUGCAGCUGAUGACAAGCAGCCCUAUGACAAGAAGGCUGCCAAGCUGAAGGAGAAGUACGAGAAGGAUAUUGCUGCCUACAGAGCUAAAGGA